GACGAACGCUGGCGGCGUGCUUAACACAUGCAAGUCGAACGAUGAAGCCCUUUCGGGGGUGGAUUAGUGGCGAACGGGUGAGUAACACGUGGGUAACCUGCCCUGUACCCUGGGAUAAGCCUUGGAAACGAGGUCUAAUACCGGAUAUGACCUGCUCUCGCAUGGGGGGUGGGUGGAAAGUUUUGGCGGUGCAGGAUGGACCCGCGGCCUAUCAGCUUGUUGGUGGGGUGAUGGCCUACCAAGGCGACGACGGGUAGCCGGCCUGAGAGGGCGACCGGCCACACUGGGACUGAGACACGGCCCAGACUCCUACGGGAGGCAGCAGUGGGGAAUAUUGCACAAUGGGCGAAAGCCUGAUGCAGCGACGCCGCGUGAGGGAUGACGGCCU
rnacentral:rRNA from 1 species